AGCGGGAAGUCAUUGAUGCCCUGCUUCCAGGAAAAUCUUCUAAGCUUCAGGCUAUUCGGGACCGUACCCCAAACCGACACAGGUGGUCAGGUAGAGAAUACCAAGGCGCUUGAGAGAACUCGGGUGAAGGAACUAGGCAAAAUGGUGCCGUAACUCGGGAGAAGGCACGCUGAUAUGUAGG
rnacentral:rRNA from 1 species